AUUGAACGCUUGCGGCAGGCCUAACACAUGCAAGUCGAACGAGUGGCGGAAGGGUGAGUAAUGUCUGGGAAACUGCCUGAUGGAGGGGGAUAACUACUGGAAACGGUAGCUAAUACCGCAUACCAUCAGAUGGGCCCAUGUGGGAUUAGCUAGUUGUUGGGGUAACGCCUCACCAAGGCGACGAUCCCUAGCUGGUCUGAGAGGAUUACCAGCCACACUGGAACUGAGACACGGUCCAGACUCCUACGGGAGGCAGCAGUGGGGAAUAUUGCACAAUGGGCGCAAGCCUGAUUUAGCCAUGCCGCGUGUAUGAAGAAGGCCUUCGGGUUGUAAAGUACUUUCAGCGGGGAGGCGUUACCCGCAGAAGAAGCACCGGCUAACUCCGUGCCAGCAGCCGCGGUAAUAC
rnacentral:rRNA from 1 species